rnacentral:rRNA from 1 species
GACGAAGGGGGCUAGCGUUGUUCGGAAUUACUGGGCGUAAAGCGUGCGCAGGCGGUGAUGUAAGACAGGUGUGAAAUCCCCGGGCUUAACCUGGGAACUGCAUUUGUGACUGCAUCGCUGGAGUGCGGCAGAGGGGGAUGGAAUUCCGCGUGUAGCAGUGAAAUGCGUAGAUAUGCGGAGGAACACCGAUGGCGAAGGCAAUCCCCUGGGCCUGCACUGACGCUCAUGCACGAAAGCGUGGGGAGCAAACAGG